CUGUGUUUGAGUCAGCCUCACACAGAUCACACACAGACAUGGGUGUGCCCACUCAGCUCCUGGGGUUGUUGCUGCUGUGGAUUACAGAUGCCAUACGUGACAUCCAGAUGACACAGUCUCCAGCUUCCCUGUCUGCAUCUCUGGGAGAAACUGUCACCAUCCAAUGUCGAGCAAGUGAGGACAUUUACAGUGGUUUAGCGUGGUAUCAGCAGAAGCCAGGGAAAUCUCCUCAGCUCCUGAUCUAUGGUGCAAGUAGCUUGCAAGACGGCGUCCCAUCACGAUUCAGUGGCAGUGGAUCUGGCACACAGUAUUCUCUCAAGAUCAGCAGCAUGCAAACUGAAGAUGAAGGGGUUUAUUUCUGUCAACAGGGUUUAAAGUAUCCUCCCACAGUAAUACAAGCCAUGACAUAAACCAUGCAGGGAAGCAGAAGUGAGAGUACAGGGUGCCCCUAAUGAUUCUCAUGAUGUCUCGAGCUUCUCAACUGCUGUGAGUUUUUCCUUUGCUGGGGUUGUUUUUACAUAGGAGUCAAAGAAAUUAUUGUGUGUCCUAAAUCCUUGUUUCUUCCCCAUGUCUAUUAUGAAAAGAAAGGAAUGGUUUACAUUACUUAUUUAAAAAAGGAAAAUAAAAACACUAAAAUACCUGUUUAUGUGUAGCAGAA